rnacentral:misc_RNA from 1 species
GGACCAGUUAGAUGAGCCAUAGAAGGCAUAGGAAGAUUGGCGGUCCUAGUCUUAUUUUGAAGGAGGUGGGCUUUGAAUGUCAUCCAUUUGUCCUGAUUAAAAGUGUGUUAACUUUAGAAAACUGGCAUCAACCCAAUGAUACGAUGGGUUGAUAUUUGGAAUGAAUUUGCUUUUGAUUUGGAAAGGGUAGAAUUUGUUACCUUUUAUUUCAUGCGGCUCCCAGUCCUGGUUUACCGUUUAUGGCGUUAUGUUCUGCACAAAAUAUGUGGAUAAAAUCUUAGAUGAACUGAGAAGGAUAUUUUAUAGAAAGAAGAAAACAGCGGAGGAAUUUGACCAUAUGUACAAAUACAAAUAUUUACGUCGGCACAACUCGUUUGAUAAAAUAUCCUUCUCAGUUCAUCUAAGA